UGUUUUUAGAUUAGCGAUGCAUAUAAUUUAGGGAAGUAUUUUAAUUCGGAGAAAGGCUUACCGAUGAAUGAUCGCUCUGUGAGCGCUAUAAAA
rnacentral:lncRNA from 1 species